rnacentral:rRNA from 1 species
UUGAGCGAUUUACUUCGGUAAAGAGCGGCGGACGGGUGAGUAACGCGUGGGUAACCUACCCUGUACACACGGAUAACAUACCGAAAGGUAUGCUAAUACGGGAUAAUAUAUUUGAGAGGCAUCUCUUAAAUAUCAAAGGUGAGCCAGUACAGGAUGGACCCGCGUCUGAUUAGCUAGUUGGUAAGGUAACGGCUUACCAAGGCGACGAUCAGUAGCCGACCUGAGAGGGUGAUCGGCCACAUUGGAACUGAGACACGGUCCAAACUCCUACGGGAGGCAGCAGUGGGGAAUAUUGCACAAUGGGCGAAAGCCUGAUGCAGCAACGCCGCGUGAGUGAUGAAGGCCUUCGGGUCGUAAAACUCUGUCCUCAAGGAAGAUAAUGACGGUACUUGAGGAGGAAGCCCCGGCUAACUACGUGCCAGCAGCCGCGGUAAUACGUAGGGGGCUAGCGUUAUCCGGAUU